rnacentral:lncRNA from 1 species
AGACAUAAAAGGAAGCUCAGUUGCUUCGGGAUGACACCCCCUACCUUUUAUCGCAUUCCAAUUGCUUGUGGACACUUGCAAUCGGCCUCCCGCGGCACCCGGCACCCGGUUUGGCCCGAUCUCUCGCGCGACCACCCGAACGGCCUCCAAUUCACGAUCCAAAAAUUAAAGGUCUUCGGUUAUGUGCCACGAUGCUUCAAAUCCGUUUUCAUGAGUAUACGAUGUCGCCUCGGCCCUCCAGGCGGAAACGAAGCCUAAACGACCGUUUCUUUAAUAACUUUACAACGGCUCGACGAAUCGCCGAACCGACUUCGCCAACGCGUUCGUUUACCUUGCAAUUAGGUUUACGAAGGGUCAAAUUAGAUCAAACCCCACCUAAUUUGUAAACCCCCAUUUUCACACCCUAGUCUCAACAUAUGCUCCAAACAAUCAAAUAUUAAGGAUUUAACAAGCUAACUUCACAUUAGAGGCUAUUAGAACACUUAAACUUAAGGAUUAAGCCAAAUCCCGAUAGUUUACCAAAAUAUGAACGCCGAGACGGAAGCACGCCACUCCAACGGGCGCACGAAAACUCGAUCCGUCGCUCCCAACGCGUUCGUAAGCUCGCUCUCCGCCAACGCCGCGAAUUUGGGCGAGAAAUAUAGAGAGAUGAGAGAGAUAUUUAGAGAGAGAAAGGAGGGUUUCUCUCCCUUUUUCAUGCGUGCGUGUGUGUCGCCAUGGUGGCGGUGGUCGGUUGAAGGAGAAGAAGCUAAUGCUUCUAAUUAAAGUCAACACCAACACUAUUCAUUCCAGGCAACUUAAAAUCUGAUAUCUUUCGCCGGAGCUCCCAGAGUAUCCGUUUGAGCUCAAAUUUGACAGUCAUGUUCGGUUUAACGUACUGAACAAGAAUAUAUCUUAACUUUUCAGUUUCGACCCCGUUUGGUCACCGAAAACUGUGCCGAACUGCAAU